UACGUAGGUGGCGAGCGUUGUCCGGAUUUACUGGGCGUAAAGGGAGCGUAGGCGGACUUUUAAGUGAGGUGUAAAAGGCAGUGGCUCAACCAUUGUAUGCAUUGGAAACUGGUAGACUUGAGUGCAGGAGAGGAGAGUGGAAUUCCAUGUGUAGCGGUGAAAUGCGUAGAUAUAUGGAGGAACACCAGUGGCGAAGGCGGCUUCCUGGUCUGCAACUGACACUGAGGCGCGAAAGCGUGGGGAGCAAACAGG
rnacentral:rRNA from 1 species